AGUGAACGCUGGCGGCGUGCUUAACACAUGCAAGUCGAACGAGAACGGGCUAUAGCUUGCUAUAGUUGUCAGCUAAGUGGCGCACGGGUGAGUAAUAUAUAGGUAAUGUGCCCUAGAGAGGGGGAUAACAUUUGGAAACGAAUGCUAACACCCCAUAUGCCUUUAAGUCAUAAGACUGCAAGGGAAAUAUUUAUAGCUCUAGGAUCGGCCUGUACGGUAUCAGCUAGUUGGUGAGGUAAUGGCUCACCAAGGCAAUGACGCCUAACUGGUUUGAGAGGAUGAUCAGUCACACUGGAACUGAGACACGGUCCAGACUCCUACGGGAGGCAGCAGUGGGGAAUAUUGCACAAUGGGGGAAACCCUGAUGCAGCAACGCCGCGUGGAGGAUGACACAUUUCGGUGCGUAAACUCCUUUUAUAUAGGAAGAUAAUGACGGUACUAUAUGAAUAAGCGCCGGCUAACUCCG
rnacentral:rRNA from 1 species